GUUGCUAACGCGUGAAGGCGAGCAUCUAGACGAACUGCCGUUGACAAAACGGAGGAAGUGGGGGAUGACGUCAAAUCAUCAUGCCCCUUAUGUUCUGGGCUACGACACGUGCUACAAUGGCCGGUACAGACGGACGCAAAGCCGCGAGGUGGAGCAAAUCCUAAAAAGCCGGUCUCAGUUCGGAUUGCAGGCUGCAACUCGCCUACAUGAAGUCGGAAUCGCUAGUAAUCGCGGAUCAGCACGCCGCGGUGAAUACGUUCCCGGGCCUU
rnacentral:rRNA from 1 species